GGGCGGAUCUCCAAUCCUGAGUGUCUAGGGCCUUGUCUUGUGUUUCCUCAAGCCAGGCCGUGCUCACCUGUGGCGCUCACCACAAUACUGGCUACACGCCAGGUCUGCUGCUCCUGGGAGCCCUGUUUUCAUGAACACCUGGGCUCACUCUCCCUGUUUGCCUCCCUCAGACCCUAAGUUUGUAGAGCUUGGGGCUGAGAUCCCCCAGCGAAUUUGCUUGCCCUCCUGUAGCCACGCCCCCGGUAGCUGGUGCAAGAGACCUCAGUUGUCAGCACUGGUGGGAGCGGUAGCCGGGAGUUCCGCGCCGCGAGUCCCGCGCCACUCCUGAUUCCCUCGGUCUGGUUAUUGCGUUCACAGGAGAGCUGGGAGUGGCCCUUAAGGUUUCCCCGCUGUGUGGAGAGAGAUGGCUAGGGGAUUACACACCUGUCGCGCUGGUUUCAAUGCAGUUAUCUCCUCCGCCCGUGACGCCAUUUCUCUGCCAUGGUGAUAUCCCAUGCAAAUGGUGACCGUUUGUUCCCUUUGCCGGGUGACCAAUGCAACGGGUGGGUCCUGACUGUCUCUCCCAAUCCCCGUUUCAGUCCUGUGGCCACUGCCUAUGAAGGCUCGGUUGGCUUUUACCUCUGUAAGUUCCUAAGGGCCGGCCAAUUAUUUCAGCGGGAUCGUUAGUGCUGAGUCACACGAAGCAGGCGAACCGGAGCUUAAUUGCCUCCGAUUCGGGCUCUGUGUGUGUGUUCUGAGGGGCCCAGCCUGUACACCCCAGAUCCACGUCAGCUCAGCAUUGCCUAGUGAUCCUGAGCAAACAGCAUUUAGACAGUUUACGGCUCCCUAUGCCCGCGCAGUUGAAGAUGUCAGAGACUUGAUCUCUCUGCGCCUGCCACCAUGUUACAUCUCCUCAGUGAUAUUCAUGUUGCCCUUACAGCUUCCUGGUAUAAGCAAGUUCUUGGGAUUAUACAAACUGCUGCUUCUGUUUCCAGUCCAGAUUUCUAGAAAUGAAACCCUGCCGCCGUCGCCUCCGUCUCUGGGCUGCGCUCACGAGCGCCGCGCUUGUCUGCGACCGUAGCAGAGCCGCCCUGGCCUCCGCAGCUCUUCAGCCCGGUGCCAGGCCCCAGGGGCCCAAGCGGCUGCCGCCGCGGCUCUCCGUCCCCCUCCUCCGGAGCACGGGUCCCCUGGCAGGGGGGUGCAGAACGACCCCAGAGCAGGCUCUGCCCGAAGGUGCAGCGGCGAACAGGCCACCGAGACGCUCGAGGCUGCAGUCCAGCCUUCGGAGGACAGGGCUCGGCACGCAGCCCAGCUCCAACCUCUAGGUGCGGCUGCCGGACAGUGUAUACAGAGCCAUCAAGACAGCAAGCAGAAAGCAAAUGGCGGCUCCCGCGGAGUGGAUUUUCGGCACAGAAACCACAGCCCCGCCAACAAUCCCAAUCCACAAACUCUCCCUGUAUAAAAAAUAUUC
rnacentral:lncRNA from 1 species